rnacentral:rRNA from 2 species
CAGUCGAACGAGAAAGUCCUUCGGGAUGAGUACAGUGGCGCACGGGUGAGUAACACGUAGGUGACCUGCCUAUUAGCGGGGGAUAACACGAAGAAAUUCGUGCUAAUACCGCAUACGCAAAGUGAAUUUGGAAGUAGCUUUGGAAAGAAUGCCUCUCCUUAAAGGCAUUUACUAAUAGAUGGGCCUGCGUAGCAUUAGCUUGAUGGUGGGGUAACGGCCUACCAUGGCGACGAUGCUUAACUGGUCUGAGAGGAUGAUCAGUCACACUGGAACUGAGACACGGUCCAGACUCCUACGGGAGGCAGCAGUGGGGAAUAUUGCGCAAUGGGCGAAAGCCUGACGCAGCAAUGCCGCGUGAGUGAGGAAGGCCUUCGGGUUGUAAAGCUCUGUCAUAUGGAAAGAAUGGUCAUUGUUCUAACAGGGCAGUGAUAUGACGGUACCAUAAAAGGAAGCACCGGCUAACUUCGUGCCAGCAGCCGCGGUAAUACGAAGGGUGCAAGCGUUGUUCGGAUUUAUUGGGCGUAAAGCGCGCGCAGGCGGACUAUAUAGCCAGAUGUGAAAUCUCGGGGCUCAACCCCGAAACUGCGUCUGGAACUGGUAGUCUAGAAUCUUGGAGGGGGAAGCGGAAUUUCGCAUGUAGGGGUAAAAUCCGUAGAGAUGCGAAGGAACACCAGAGCCGAAGGGGGCUUCCUGGCCAAGUAUUGACGCUGAGGCGCGAAAGCGUGGGGAGCAAACAGGAUUAGAUACCCUGGUAGUCCACGCCGUAAACGAUGUGCACAUGAUAUUGGAGAUUAGA